UGCCGGGCGUGGAUGAGUGGACAUUUAUUCACCAGUCCUACUGUCUGAAAUCUGAACAAGUGUAGUUUCAGGUGAAAUCGUUGGCUGUAGCUCAUUUCUUGAAUAGUCUUCUGUACGCAGCGUUAAAAUAAGCGUGCUAUAUGCGCUUGUUUACGACUCCUGCCUGACGCUCCAUAUGGGGGCAAUUUUCAAAAAUUGCCUAUAAGCUGGAUAUUUUUUUACUGAAUUGGACGCCAUGUCCAUUCUAUGUCAAAAUGGUCACUCAAAUCUACUGCUAUGUGCAUGUACAAAACUAAUGAAUCACCCAAAUUCGAGUCAGGUUUGGCACCUCUCUCCAUGUGAGUAACGCUGUUAUCGAGGUUAAUUUACAAAGAGCAAACUGUAGCGCUGCCCAACAGGCAAGAUGUAGACAGCGUUGAUGUCACAGCUACAAAUUCUGUUAGAAAGUAUUUUAUAUUUGGGGUGUGAGAAUCGUGUGUUGACCAUGUGAUAAGACAGCAGUGUAUUUCCUGAAUUUAAAUUAUUGUUGCAGAAUUAACCUAUUUCUUAAGGUGUGGAAUUUGGUACAUUUUCCAGAGAUAAAUUUUCCUGCCAAUUCCUUAUCUUUUCUGUUUUCAAGUAUAGAUGUUUACAAACAUCCUUUGCAGAAGUAUGUCAAGAGUAGGAUAUGAUAUUGAAACGUUUGAAAAAGGAGUGGAGGCAAACAUCAAAAUUCUCUCUGCACCAACAUUCUGUCAGUAAACAUCUUUUUUUUUAGAAUUCAACGGUCAAUUUUUUUUUUUGAAAUCAAUAGGCAAUAAUUUUAUUAUGUUCUACACUGAUUUUGCCUGCGAUGUAGUGUAUAUUAUCACUGUAAAAAAUGCAUAAUUAAGUUUAUCUUAUGUCUUAUCAUCCGUACAAAACUUAUUGCACAAGGCCCUACCUUGUGCCUAACAAGGUUUAAUUUGUGUAUAUAUAGAUCAACCGGCAUGCGUCCAAUGCACCACAACCAAACAAAGCUCAAGAAAAAUGGCACCCACCGCUACUACAUAACCGGUUAUCAGUAACGGUCGGGACCGUCGUUACUAACUUCGUGUUACUGAUGAUACCCAUCAUCAGUAACGGUCUCUGAUGUAUAUAUACAUCAGUGGCGGUCGCUCCUUCCUGACCGUUACUGAUGUAUAUAUCAUCAGUAACGGUCGCGUCUCCCCAUCACUGUCGGUCGAUCGACCGACACUGAUACAUUUUCGGUAUUUAAAAUAAUAAUUAAAAUCACAGUAAAUACACAGAAAUACACAACAAAUUAUAUACAGCACAACAAAUUAUGUACAGAAUGUAUCUCAUCACAGAAAAAUACAUAUCACAUCACAUCACAUCAUUUAAAGCAUACAAUUGUAUAUAAGCCGCAUCAUAUAAAGAAUACAAAUGUAUCUCACUUCACGACAUUGAUUACAAAGUGUCAAAAUUCCAUAAAAACAUAAUUACAAAGUGUCAAAAUUUCAUAGAAGCAUAUAAAAAAUACAAAUGAAUCUAUUGUCGUGGGUGAACCCUAGACAGACUUGUUCCACGCGUUCA
rnacentral:lncRNA from 1 species